rnacentral:rRNA from 1 species
GGAGGGUCCAAGCGUUAAUCGGAAUUACUGGGCGUAAAGCGCGCGUAGGCGGUUUAAUAAGUUGCAUGUGAAAGCCCUGGGCUCAACCUAGGAACUGCAUGCAAAACUAUUAAGCUUGAGGACGAGAGAGGAGAGUAGAAUUUCAGGUGUAGCGGUGAAAUGCGUAGAUAUCUGAAGGAAUACCAAUGGCGAAGGCAGCUCUCUGGCUCGUUUCUGACGCUAAGGUGCGAAAGCGUGGGUAGCAAACAGGAUUAGAUACCCUGGUAGUCCACGCCGUAAACGAUGAUAACUAGCCGUUGGGCAGAUUUAACUGUUCAGUGGCACAGCUAACGCAUUAAGUUAUCCGCCUGGGGAGUACGGCCGCAAGGCUAAAACUCAAAUGAAUUGACGGGGGCCCGCACAAGUGGUGGAGCAUGUGGUUUAAUUCGAUGCAACGCGAAGAACCUUACCAACCUUUGAAAUCCAGAGAAGUCACCAGAGAUGGAGAUGUGCCUUCGGGAACUCUGUGACAGGUGUUGCAUGGCUGUCGUCAGCUCGUGUCGUGAGAUGUAUGGUUAAGUCCAGUAACGAGCGCAACCCCUAUCCUUAUUUGCCAGCGCGUAAUGGCGGGAACUAUAGGGAGACUGCCGGUCAAAAACCGGAGGAAGGCGGGGACGAGGUCAAGUCAUCAUGGCCCUUAUAGGUUGGGCUACACACGUGCUACAAUGGGAUGUACAGAGGGUUGCGAAAGCGUGAGCUGGAGCCAAACCCUUAAAGCAUUUCGUAGUCCGGAUUGGAGUCUGCAACUCGACUCCAAGAAGUCGGAAUCACUAGUAAUCGCGAAUCAGAAUGUCGCGGUGAAUACGUUCUCGGGCCUU